AUGAGAGGAAAAACCAAUGUCUUUACACCCAGCACCACCACUAAUGUUUCUAGGUUUUGGAAAGGAGUCAAGUCUAUCAUCCACACUUUGAAUUUUGGAUAUAGAUGGAAAGUAGGAGUGGGGGAUAAAAUCAGGUUCUGGGAAGACACUUGGUUUGGUACUUCCCCACUGGCAGUUCAAUUCUAGCACAUCUACAUGCUCUGUAAUGAGCAGACUAAAAUUAUUAGGGAGGUCCGGGAUGGUGAAACCCUUAAACUGACUUUUAGGAGAAACUUUGACAACAGGCUCAUGGAGCAAUGGUACCAGCUUGUUGAGAUUGCUGGGGGGGAUUAA
rnacentral:rRNA from 1 species